rnacentral:rRNA from 1 species
UACAGAGGUGACAAACGUUGUCCGGAAUUACUGGGCGUAAAGGGCGCGUAGGCGGCCUGCUAAGUCGAACGUGAAAUCCCCGGGCUCAACCCGGGAACUGCGUCCGAUACUGGCAGGCUUGAAUCCGGGAGAGGGAUGCGGAAUUCCAGGUGUAGCGGUGAAAUGCGUAGAUAUCUGGAGGAACACCGGUGGCGAAGGCGGCAUCCUGGACCGGCAUUGACGCUGAGGCGCGAAAGCCAGGGGAGCAAACGGG